UGGUAGCCCAAUAGGCAGCGCCCAGUUUGUCCCUAGCGGCAUGCCGUCGAAAUUGCUCAGUCCAGUUCAACAACAACUUUCCAUGUGCGAGGACAAGCGACAUUCAAUGCAUUUUGUGUGGCCUGCCCUAGAACUUCUACACUGACAUACGGGCUUGUAAGCAUUUGGAGACCGUUUUUCCCUAACAACUCCCAGAUGUCCCAACUCGACACAGGACAUGAGUUUGUCUAGUUGUCUGUCUGCCCUGUCUCUCUCAGCCCUGCUCACCCUGGCCUUGAUAACUUGUUUACACCGUAGCUACCUGUCUGACCAAAAGUUGUCACUGAUAAAGUUAACUAGCAAACAACAACCAGAUGAGACACCAAUACACCUAUCAGUAAGACCUGGUUUAGAGGAAGAUCCAGCAACAAAACAGGCCGGUGAGAGGGAGAUAGUGAACCUCCAGAGGGGUAGCUCCCAUCCAGCCCCCAGCCACAGAUUGCUGUGGGAAGGCUCCCAUCCAGCCCCCAGCCACAGAUUGCUGUGGGAAUUCCCCCAUCCAGCCAUCUCCAGUGGUCCCAGAGAGGCAGAGUGUAGUAGGGUGGCCCUGGAGAGCCGCUUUGACUGCGCCCGGGACCGAGUUCUGAGCCAGACAGAGUGUCAGGGGAGAGGGUGCUGCUAUGCCCCCCUACCUCAAGGCCUCUCUGGAGGACCCCCCUGGUGCUUCUACCCCCCGUCAUACAGCGGCUACAAGAUGGGGCCCCUCACCCCCACUUCCAGGGGCCAGGCUGCCACCCUUACGAGGCCCACUCCCUCCUACCUACCCCGGGAUAUCUCUACGCUCCGGUUGGAGAUCCUGGAUGAGACAGAAGGCCGACUGCACCUCACGUUGAAGGAUCCGUCGUCCCGGCGAUAUGAAGUUCCUUUAUCCACUGCCCAGUCCAGGGGUAACACUGACACCCAGGACCACCAAUAUGUCACUGAGUUUCAACCCGACCCUUUUGGGUUCAUAGUGCGCCGAAAAUCCAAUGGCCGUGUCCUUGUGAACACCACAGUGGCCCCGCUGCUGUAUGCUGACCAGUACCUGCAGCUGUCCACCUCCCUGGCCUCCUCACUGGUGUCUGGGCUGGGGGAACACUACACCCCCCUCAGCUUGGACCUCAAUUGGACCUCCCUUACCCUUUGGAACAGGGACAUGGCGCCCCACGGCGAUGCCAACCUUUAUGGCUCCCAUCCGUUCUACAUGGUGCAGGAGGGGGAUGGACAGGCUCAUGGGGUCUUCCUGCUCAACAGUAAUGCCAUGGAGGUGGUGCUGCAGCCUAGCCCUGCUCUGACCUGGGUGGCUGUGGGAGGAAUCCUGGACCUGUACAUCUUCCUGGGCCCUGACCCUCAGAGUGUUGUCAGACAGUACCUCCAGGUUAUAGGGUACCCUAUGAUGCCUCCUUAUUGGUCACUGGGGUUCCACCUGUGUCGCUGGGGUUACCGGUCCACUAACGCAACCCGAGAGGUGGUGCAACGCAUGCACAACGCCAACUUCCCCCUGGACGUGCAGUGGAAUGACCUGGAUUACGCAGACAAGCGUCGGGUGUUCACCUUUGACCCCCAGCGCUUUGUGGACCUGCCAGACAUGGUGAAGGAGUUCCAUCAGAAGGGCAUGAAGUACAUUCUCAUCCUGGACCCUGGGAUCAGCAGCACCAGCCCCCCUGGUACUUACCCACCCUUUGAUGAGGGUCAGCGGAGAGGGGUCUUCAUCAGGAACUCUACAGGACAGACACUCAUAGGGAAGGUGUGGCCUGGUCCGACAGCGUUCCCUGACUUCACCAACCCAGAGACACAGAGCUGGUGGGAGGACUGCAUUCGGGAGUUCCACUCCAGAGUCCCACUAGAUGGCCUGUGGAUUGAUAUGAAUGAACCAGCCAGUUUUGUGCAGGGCUCUGUGGAGGGGUGUCCUGACAGUGAUUUGGAUAGCCCCCCCUACGUGCCACCGGUGAUUGGAGGACAGCUGAACACUGGUACACUCUGCAUGUCAGCUCAGCAGAACCUGUCCACUCACUACAACCUGCAUAACCUCUAUGGGCUGACGGAGGCUAGCGCCACCCACAGUGCCCUGGUGAAGGUCCGGGGGUCGCGACCCUUCGUGCUGUCCCGCUCCUCCUUCCCUGGCAUUGGCCGUUUCUCCGGAGUCUGGACGGGAGACGUGAGGAGCGACUGGGAGCAGCUCAGAUACUCCAUCCCUGCGGUGCUGCUGUUUGGCCUGUUCGGGGUGCCACUGGUGGGGGCGGAUGUGUGUGGGUUCGGGGGGGACACCACAGAGGAGCUGUGUGUACGCUGGACCCAGCUUGGAGCCUUCUACCCCUUCAUGAGGAACCACAACGACAAGCCCAAUGCUCCCCAGGAGCCCUAUGUGUUUGGUCAGGAGGCCCAGACAGCCAUGCGUAGCGCGGUGAUGUUACGUUACUCUCUCCUGCCGUUCCUCUACACACUCUUCUACCACGCACACACCUCCGCAGACACUGUGGCCACGCCUCUCUUCCUCCAGUUCCCCUCGGACCCUAACUGCCAGACCAUAGACAGACAGUUCCUGUGGGGGAGUUCUCUGCUUGUCAGCCCAGUGUUAGAGCAGGGGGCAGUGGAGCUGGCUGCCUACCUCCCCCCGGGGACUUGGUACAGUCUGCACAAUGGCCAGCCAUUCUACAGUAAGGGUCAGUACCUGCUCCUCCCAGCCCCUCUAGACACCAUCAAUGUCCAUGUGAGAGAGGGACACAUCAUCCCACAGCAGAUACAGGAGCCAGGCCUGACUACCUCAGCUUCUCGCAGUAACCCUUUCCUCCUGACGGUGGCGCUGUCUGCUGGGGGCUGGGCCUGGGGUGACCUGUUCUGGGACGACGGGGACAGUCUGGACACAUUCCAGAGAGGAGACUACUCCUAUGUUAUCUUCAUCGCUGGACAGUCCCAGGUGAUGAGUGACCCCCUGCGUCAGAACGGGGCGCUGGACGGGCUGGUGCUGGGAGGGCUGCGAGUGUUCGGGGUGCCUUCCCCACCCCGCUAUGUAUGGGCCAACGGAAAGAAAGUGUGGGAUUUCUCUUAUCAGACUGACACCAAGGUUCUGACGGUGACCAGCCUGGCCCUGACCAUGUCAGAGGUGUUUGAAGUCCUGUGGACCUUGUGAGCCUUAUGAACUGUAUGACUCAGUGGACUCUGACCCAGUAGAUAGCUUCUCAGAUGAGUGAUUACAUGACAUUGUCUCAGGUGAGAUGCUGAGACAGUGGUGAGAUGCUGAGACAGUGGUGAGAUGCUGAGACAGUGGUGAGAUGCUGAGACAGUGGUGUGAUGCUGAGACAGUGGUGAGAUGCUGAGACAGUGGUGAGAUGCUGAGACAGUGGUGAGAUGCUGAGACAGUGGUGAGAUGCUGAGACAGUGGUGAGAUGCUGAGACAGUGGUGAGAUGCUGAGACAGUGGUGUGAUGCUGAGACAGUGGUGAGAUGCUGAGACAGUGGUGAGAUGCUGAGACAGUGGUGAGAUGCUGAGACAGAAAAUCUUUCUAACCUUUUAUUUUAUUUGUUAAGCACUUUUGAAAUGCAUCACCUGUAAGAAAUGUUCUUUAUAAAUAACAUUUGAUUAAUUGAUAAAUCUUGUGCUGAGGAGGACAGCAGUGGCUCAACACAAUUAUUUUUAUUAAUUGAACAUCUAAAAUUGACCAGAAUAUGGCCAUUCUGUACUCUUCUAGUAUGAUGGUAGGCUGUGUGUUAAGUCUCAUCAAAUGACUUCCAGUGAUAUUUCCACAUUGUUACCAUUAAAGGCAAUUGAUAGCU